rnacentral:rRNA from 1 species
AAGUCGAGCGGUAGCACAGAGAGCUUGCUCUCGGGUGACGAGCGGCGGACGGGUGAGUAAUGUCUGGGAAACUGCCUGAUGGAGGGGGAUAACUACUGGAAACGGUAGCUAAUACCGCAUAACGUCGCAAGACCAAAGUGGGGGACCUUCGGGCCUCAUGCCAUCAGAUGUGCCCAGAUGGGAUUAGCUGGUAGGUGGGGUAACGGCUCACCUAGGCGACGAUCCCUAGCUGGUCUGAGAGGAUGACCAGCCACACUGGAACUGAGACACGGUCCAGACUCCUACGGGAGGCAGCAGUGGGGAAUAUUGCACAAUGGGCGCAAGCCUGAUGCAGCCAUGCCGCGUGUGUGAAGAAGGCCUUCGGGUUGUAAAGCACUUUCAGCGGGGAGGAAGGCGGUGAGGUUAAUAACCUCAUCGAUUGACGUUACCCGCAGAAGAAGCACCGGCUAACUCCGUGCCAGCAGCCGCGGUAAUACGGAGGGUGCAAGCGUUAAUCGGAAUUACUGGGCGUAAAGCGCACGCAGGCGGUCUGUCAAGUCGGAUGUGAAAUCCCCGGGCUCAACCUGGGAACUGCAUUCGAAACUGGCAGGCUAGAGUCUUGUAGAGGGGGGUAGAAUUCCAGGUGUAGCGGUGAAAUGCGUAGAGAUCUGGAGGAAUACCGGUGGCGAAGGCGGCCCCCUGGACAAAGACUGACGCUCAGGUGCGAAAGCGUGGGGAGCAAACAGGAUUAGAUACCCUGGUAGUCCACGCUGUAAACGAUGUCGAUUUGGAGGUUGUGCCCUUGAGGCGUGGCUUCCGGAGCUAACGCGUUAAAUCGACCGCCUGGGGAGUACGGCCGCAAGGUUAAAACUCAAAUGAAUUGACGGGGGCCCGCACAAGCGGUGGAGCAUGUGGUUUAAUUCGAUGCAACGCGAAGAACCUUACCUGGUCUUGACAUCCACAGAACUUUCCAGAGAUGGAUUGGUGCCUUCGGGAACUGUGAGACAGGUGCUGCAUGGCUGUCGUCAGCUCGUGUUGUGAAAUGUUGGGUUAAGUCCCGCAACGAGCGCAACCCUUAUCCUUUGUUGCCAGCGGUCCGGCCGGGAACUCAAAGGAGACUGCCAGUGAUAAACUGGAGGAAGGUGGGGAUGACGUCAAGUCAUCAUGGCCCUUACGACCAGGGCUACACACGUGCUACAAUGGCAUAUACAAAGAGAAGCGACCUCGCGAGAGCAAGCGGACCUCAUAAAGUAUGUCGUAGUCCGGAUUGGAGUCUGCAACUCGACUCCAUGAAGUCGGAAUCGCUAGUAAUCGUAGAUCAGAAUGCUACGGUGAAUACGUUCCCGGGCCUUGUACACACCGCCCGUCACACCAUGGGAGUGGGUGCAAAAGAAGUAGGUA